rnacentral:snRNA from 2 species
GUGCUCACUUCAGCAGCACAUAUGCUAGAAUUGGAAUGAUGCUGAGAUUAGCAUGGCCCCUGAGCAAAGGUGAUACGUGAAUUCAUGAAGUGUUCCAUAUAUCU